ACCCGGUAUAACGUCAGACACACGUGAUACGUUCUGUCAGGAACGAACUUGCUGUAAUUCAUAUUUCUUUGAUAUUUUCAUUAAUAACGGUAUUAAUGUAGAAAUAUUACUACACUUUUGCAAUGAAUACCGAGACAGAAAUAUUUAUAACGUGCAAAUAAAUUGCUCCAGGGUGUCAAUUAGUAGUGCAUAGUGGGUAGGUGCUUACCUACAGUCUCGUGUUAUUAGCGUUGUUACAAACAAACUAUACUGGCUUAUCGACCUUAGGAAUAUUUUCUUUCAUUGCACUGGUAAUCAUGGAUGUUGACACUUUUUGCCGUCAAUGGCGUACGAUAGACGCAUCUGUGUCGAUGUGUCAGAGAAAUUUUGUACUAUAUUGGAUUUUGUAUGACGUUACCGUCAACCAGUGAAAUGUAAUUAUAGGAGUGGCAUUUACGAAUUAAUUGUAAUAGAUAGUAGUGUCGUAGAGAAACAGAGCAUUCUAAUUACGGAUGUUUAAAAUUAGAAUGCUCAAUGGCUGUGAAUAUGGAAGUAGACAAGAGCACGUCCAAAGAGGUUGACACACAACUUUCGGCAAGCAAUUCGAUGGAAUUUAAGGAUGGUGUUCGACGCGAGAACAACGAAAACGUACGAGAUCUCCGGCAUUCUUAUUCGCCACUCGAUGAUAAAACGAUUGACAGCCGCAAAUACGAUCGUACCAUUGUAUACGCACAACUCGACGAUGCCGAGGUUUUCGUGAACGAAUUACCUGACAAUCGAGUCUUAGGAAAUAAAGAAGAGGGGAACAGUAUAAGGAACAAGGAGAAAGGAAUAACCGAAGACAUGAAGGUUUUGCAGAAUGACAGCAAAGAUCAGCAGGCAGAAGUAACGUCAGAAAAUUCAACCGAUGGCUAUGCACAUCAAGCUCCGUUAGCUUUUACAAUUGAUUUUGGCAACAAGGAAGUCGACACAACCAAGUAUCAAAAUUUAUUUGAGAGGUACAACGCCAGGCACAAGAGAAACCUUUCUACAUCUAAGGUAGAAAUUAACUCAAGAAAAAGUGCCACAUCAUUUUCGUCAAAUUCAGCACAAAAACAAAAGGUUUCCAGUACACAUUCUGAAGGAUAUUUCAGUAGUGAAGAUGACACAAAAAGAAAAACAGAUCAAUUGUCAGAGAAAUUAAAGCAAUUAGGUUCAAAAUCAUUUUCAAAAUCGUCUAAUGCUACAAAAAAAUCCGAGUCUAACGUGAAAGUAACGAAUUUUCAAAAUAAACAAGACCUAAUGACUAGAUCAUUCGAACAAUCAAAACAAAAUAAAUUUCCUCAUAAAAAUCUUUCUCUAGAGCUUACUUAUUCAGAAAAAAAGCGUACACCAUAUUGGGGCCCUCAAAAAUCUGCUACUAUAAACGACUUAAGCCGAAUUCAGUCUAACAACUAUGAUGAUACUGUUAGUGAGAAACUUUAUACAAAAAAUAUAGAUCACGAAGAUGAUUACGAGCAUUUGUCCGACAAUGAAAAAGUGUCAAACAUCAGCUAUGCCAGAAAGAAAAGUAUUAUCGCGAAAGAACACAAUUUAUCUAGUGUUAAAUAUACAGUAGAAGUAAAUCCAGAUGAAACAACCGAGACCAACAUAGACACUUUUAAUGUCAGCAAUACCGGUGCAGGCUCCGAUGAUGAAAUCAGUGAAGCUGGGACAUAUACAAUACACAAAGACUACACUGACGAAGAAAAAGCAAGAAUGGAUAUUGAUAAAGUGUUUAAUGUUGGUGUUUUCACUGAAGAUGAAUCCAAUGAAGCAUGUAUUCAUAGCUUUAAGAUGAGUGCUUCCAGGGACAACAACACAUGGAUAUCGGAAUGGGCGAGUCAAGUAGCAGAACAUAAUUCUCUUCCACCAGCAAUUGGUGGACUAACCGGCCGCACCCCACCACUAAGUCCUUCCAAAAUACCGUCUCCAAUUCAUACUAGAUCUCAAAGACUGGCUCGUAGUCGCACUGAACAAAACGACAGCAACUUAGAUGUAGAAUCGUAUUUGCGAAUGAAGGAAAGAAUUGGAUUAAUGUCGAACCAACAUAUACUUAUUGAUUCUGGUGGAGAAUCAGAUGAUGACACCAGCAACAGUUACAAUACUCCUCCACACAGUUCACAACGAACUCCGGUACACGGUUCGUUGGCAAGACGCGGAAGCUUAUCUGAAUCUCUCUUUAGAAGAAUUAAUACCAGCGAAAAUAGGAGAAGCCUUCGCAAAUAUUUAAGUUCAAACAAAUCUAAGACUGAGGAUGUUAACGCAGAAUUAAGUAGUCCGUCCAAAGAUUUUGCUUCCCUUCAUCUAGGAAGGCGAAGUAGUUCCUUGGACAGGAGAGAAUACACAUCCGAUACAACCGAAUCCAAUACGUCCAGGAGAAGCAGCAUGAAGUACUACCAAGACGAUGACAUUAAAUACACAACUAGCCCCGUCUUAAGCCGUCUAAGACCAUCUACACCAAAAUUAACUAAUAGUCCUAUCGUAACUCGCAAGGCAGUUACGAAAAUUGUUAAUUCACCUGUGCUGGAAAGAACUAAGCACUUAACGAAAUCUUCCCCACAAGCAAAAAAUAUUGGAUAUUUUACUUGUGUCGAAAACAGUCCGUACAUGUUAAGAAAGUCGAAUAGUACAGCAAGUUACCACGAAGCAAACAUUGGCUUUAAUAACAAAGACUUACUACCAAAAGCAAACAGUGUUCUUCAGAAUAGUCCAAACCUUCAACGUAAUCUAAGUAUCCAAAGAUCGUGUAGCAACGCAAAUAUUAGAAAUAUAAAGUCACAGAGUCAGUCCUCGCGGCGCAGUAGCUUUAACAGUAGUGACAUCGAUAGAACAUCUUCAGGCGGAAGGUGUGUUGCUGCUUCCGACAGUAGCAGUGAAACUGGUGAACAACAAGUGAAAUCUUCGUUAGCUCCGGCAACUACAGGAAUCAAAUUGAAUCGAGCUUUCAGUAUAAGGAGAGCAAGAUUAAAUUGUGAGUCCGAUACAACUCCUAAUACCACUCCAGAAGAGCGACGCAGAAGAGCGCAAAGCGAAGUGAAAGCAGUAGCCCCGGCGAAGAAAGAGCAAAAUUACCAUCGAAGUCGAGCAACUAACGUGAACACUCAUAGUAAGGAACCUGUAAAAAAAUCGGAACCUGCGAAACCUAGAGCUGUAUCACUGUCAAGGACUGAUAGUACUAGACUUAGUAUAAGAGUACCGAAAUCAGCUCAUCAUACUACCACUACACAGCGACCUAAUCAGAGAGUAAAUAAAGAUCAAAAGUCUGGUAGAAGUAAUUCAACUUUGACAUCGAAGGAAGUUGAAUUUCAGAAUUGGAAGAGGAGGAAAAGUUAUGAUCCAAUGAAAGCAGCUGCUGAAGGUAGAAAGAAAUUAAUGGAUAAUACGAAGAAACACCACAGUACAGAAGAUAGUACAGGAAAUCACGAUAGCUCUGUGUUACGAUCGGCGAGUUUCCAUGGGACCGGUGGUGCUCUUUCAUUAGCCAAUGAAUGGUCCGACAACGAAUUAAAUUUUGCUCAGAAUGACAAUCAAGUACCUCCGCCGUGUAGUCCACAGUUGGAAAGCGAUAGUGAUCUAGAAACAUCAUAUUAUUUGCAAACAACUCAAAAUGUUGUCACAGCUAUGACAGCUCGUAUUACAGUCUGUCGUUCACCUUUAAUGGAUUCGGAUAACGAAAGCGACGAAGACACUAGUCAUAGUUUGCAUAAAAAUAUAUCAAAAACAUUACAUCAGCCUAGCGAUACAGAAAGUAGUGACGACCGUCAGCAGUUCUCGCAAAAUGUUAUUUCAAACACUAAAUAUAAUAGAGCAUUUAGUUUACGCAGGGCAAGAUUAGAAUCCCAACCAACAAAAUUACCAACAAAUACAAACAAUAAAAAGACGGUAACGCAUGAUACUAGAGGGAAAUCUGAAACUAUUACAAGUAUUAGUAGGACUGAUUCUGGUCGCUUUAGUAUGCGAUCAAAUAGAACUUCAAAUACGGGUCUUAAAGCAAAACCAAAGGAAACUAAGAAACCUGUAACGCCAAAUGCAAGAGAAGUUGAGAUGCAAAAUUGGAAACGUCGUAAGAGCUAUGAUCCUAUGAAAGCAGCCAUGGAAGGGAGAAAAAAGGCAGGAUUAGCAAAAAAGAGUGUGAAUGCAAAUCUCUCGCCGAGGACUGAUAGCGAUCGAUAAUCUAAUGAUAGAGACCGUCGGUACAAGCAAGUGGUACGGAAAAGACUUGUUUGAUUUUGUGAUGUAGAUUUUUUUAAGAGUCACGUUGCAAGAUCACGCAGUUUCCAUGGCUCAUCAGGAUUCGGAGUUAGUGAUUGGAGUGAUGAAGAGUUGGCUAUAUCUGCAGAUGAAACUACUGUUUAUUGAAAGUCACAGCAUUAAUCGUAUGAUGUGAAUCGAUUCAGUUAAAAUGAAAUUCAGCUGUAGUAGUCGAUGUAUAUAAAAAAAAGUAAGAAAUUCCGUUCUUACAGAAUUACUCUAUAAAUAGUUCUACACAUUUGAAAUUAUAUUAAAUGGUGAAGAAUGUUGAAAGAUCUUUUCUAUAUUAAAAGAUUCUAUUUUUUGCAACUUUUAACAUUAAGAAACUAUAGAUCUAUAUGGCUAUCAGUACUGUUCUAAGUUGAAGUACCAAUAUUUAGCAAAAUUAAUGCGUAACUUUAUAAUAUUAUUGAUAAUUCGACACUCUUAUUUUUCAGUUUCGCUUCUAUCAGAGUUU